GCAGCGGGACCUUCGGGUUGCCGGCGAGCGGCGGACGGGUGAGUAAUGCCUAUGAAUCUGCCUGUUAGUGGGGGAUAACGCGGGGAAACUCGCGCUAAUACCGCAUACGUCCUACGGGAGAAAGUGGGGGACCUUCGGGCCUCACGCUAACAGAUGAGCCUAAGUCGGAUUACCUAGUUGGUGGGGUAACGGCCCACCAAGGCGACGAUCCGUAACUGGUCUGAGAGGAUGAUCAUUCACACUGGAACUGAAACUCGGACCAGACUCCUACGGGAGGCAGAAGUGGGGAAUAUUGGACAAUGGGCGAAAGCCUGAUCCAGCCCUGCCGCGUGUGUGAAGAAGGUCUUCGGAUUGUAAAGCACUUUAACCCGGGAGGAAGGGCUGUAGGCGAAUACCCUGCAGUCUUGACGUUACCGGCAGAAUAAGCACCGGCUAACUUCGUGCCAGCAGCCGCGGUAAUAC
rnacentral:rRNA from 1 species